GGCGUUGUAGCUCAGUGGUUGAGCACUAGCCUAGCACGUAAGAGGCACUAGGUUCAAUCCUCAGCACCA
rnacentral:tRNA from 1 species